UUUUUUUUGAGACAGAGUUUCACUCUUGUUGCCCAGGCUGGAGUGCAAUGGCCUGGUCUCGGCUCACAGCAACCUCCGUCUCCCGGAUUCAAGCCAUUCUCCCGCCUCAGCCAUCGGAGUAGCUGGGACUACAGGCAUGCGACACCACGAAUGGCCAGUUUUGCAUUUUUAGUAGAGACGGGGUUUCUCCAUGUUGGUCAGGCUGGUCUCGAGCUCCGAACCUCAGGUGAGCCUCGGCCUCCCAAAGUGCUGGGAUUACAGGCGUGAGCCACUGAGCCCGGCCUUUCCUUUUUUAUUAUUUACUUUGUUCUGACAACUUCAGAUUUAAUUUACUCUUCUUGAUCUAACUUUUUAAGGCUGAAUGUUAAUUCAUGUUUUGAGACUUUAAUCUGUUAUUGUAAUUUCAUACUAGAAUUUCCCCCAGAGUACAGUCAGUUGUAUAGCACAUAUUUGUACAUGUUGCAUUUUAAUUUUCAUUAAAC
rnacentral:lncRNA from 1 species